UGUAGGGACUCAUUUGUAACAAAUGUAACAAAUACAUGACUCAGAAAGAGCAGGAUUUUUAUGUGCUGAUGUGGCUGAGACAGUUUUCAGUGAUCACAUACACACACCUUCCAUACAAAACUUGAAUGCACUUUUUAAAUUUUUCAUGCCUCACCUGCAAAGGUCUUAACUGAGUUUCUGUUCAGUGGCUAAAUGAGUCAUGAAGAAAAUGCCUUAUCUUGCCCGCCUCACUUUUCUACCUUGACUAAACUGCUGCUGGCAUUCAAAUUAAAAAGACAUCACUUGACUUGUUUAUGGCUUCAGUAGGUCGCAAAGAAAUGGUUGACAAAUGCCACACUGGUCUGGAAGCUGAAACAACUCAAGAGCUCCCGAGACCCAAAAAGAUCUCGUGAACCUUCCAGACUGUCGCCAAGCAACCUUUACUGCAGUUUGCAACACACUGGUGUGUGUGUGUAUGUGCGUGGUAGUGAGAUGUCCCUGGGCCAAAGGUACGGUGUGCAACCCAACUAACUCAUCAUGUGUUUUUGUUUAUUGAGCAAACUUCCACUGCUGUGGUAUGACAGACGAAAUGCUAUUUACAGAGUGAGAAUGAUUGAGUGAGGAAAUAUGACCCUUGGCUUCCACUGUGACAAACUGUCCCUUAAACACAUAAGAUAACAGUGACAUGCGGUCAACAGUUGAAACGUUUGUAGAUGCAUGACUACAGCCCUAGUAAACCACUUUGAAUGCCUGUGCUGUAUAUAUCUUGCGGGGUCGAAGGGAGUUUUCAUUAGACUUUACACCGAUCUGAUCGGCCUUAUCGGUAAUAUCGGCCAAUAUUUAGCAUUUUAUGCUGAUCGGCUUUGAUGUCAUAAUUCGACGAUCCGAUCAAUAACUCCACAAAAGACAUUUACUCCGCGUCGCCAUCGUGCACAGUAUAUUUGAAUCCAAAAGCUAGUUUAUUUUUAGCCUUGUUGCGAGUCUUUUGACAUAGUACUGUAAAUAUCUGACAGCCUAUGAAGUUAUUUAAAAAAAUUUUUUUAAUGCCAGCGGUGUUCAAUUAUUUUAGUAUUUUUACAGAAAUUGGGCUUCCAACUCAUAAAAUGAAACAAAGUCAGGAAUUCAAAAUAUUUGAAUACUGUGAAGAAAUCAGCCCAAAUUCUGCAGGCCAUAAAUGUUUUAAAUUUAGUAUCAGACACUAAUCAUCUACUAACAAGGCGAGGUGGCCCGAGUUGGCAAUGGAUUAAUGAGCAAAGAACAGCUGGGAGAAGCGUCUCUACAGUCACCAUUCGACUGAGGGCAAGGACUACCGUGGCGCAGCAACUUCCGGCGGAUUAAAACGAAAAGAUGGCGUGGGAGCGAUGGAUGACAGAUGGCGAACACAGCUUUACUAAGACUGGGAGGCAACGUCGGGCGAGUUAUGCCACCAUAUGUGAAUGGAUUGUGGAUGCUUGGGCUAACGUGUCUGCUUGCACUGUUGUUCGAGCUUUCGUGAAUGCCGGCAUCAUUUCUCAGGAGCCGCACGGCAACGAGACUGACUCCGGCAAUGACAAGAGGGAACCUGGCGUGUUUGAGAACUUGCCCAGCUGUUCAUUUCAGAUACAGAAGAUGGGGACUUUGAUGGAUUUGUGGAUGAGGAUUGAUCAAAAAAUGAGUACAUUGUUGAAUACUUCAAUAAUGUACUACUGAACUCAGUUUUGCUCACUCUGCCUUUUUAAAAACAUUGUUUUAGCGUGCAUGCAUGCUACCAUAUGUUUUAAGCUAGCGUAUGUUUUACCAUGCCUGCGCCCAAUAAUGCGGUGCACCUUUUGUAUGCGUUAACUACAGAAAGACACUGUAACUGACACUGCGCCUUUUAAUAUGGUGCGCCUUAUGGUUGCGAAAAUACUGCGUAUACAUACGCACGCACACGUAUACACACACACACACACGUAUACACGCACACACACUUUUUUGCUCACUUGAAAAGUGGGUGGCUUCAAAGAAAAGGUGCUCUGUCCUGAGUUGUUUCAUACAUCUAAAUGCAAAUAGCAAGAAAAAUAAAAGCUGGAAUUCUUAA